rnacentral:rRNA from 1 species
UACUGUAGCUGAAAGUUUCUAUCUGAUAGGGAGAGCUGACCCAAAAAUGAAGCUAAUCAGGGUGGUCAGUACCUGGAUGGGAGACCCCCUUGGAAAACUAGGUUGCUGCCGGAA